AUUGAACGCUGGCGGCAGGCCUAACACAUGCAAGUCGAGCGGAUGAAGGGAGCUUGCUCCUGGCUUCAGCGGCGGACGGGUGAGUAAUGCCUAGGAAUCUGCCUGGUAGUGUGGGAUAACGUCCCGAUACGGGCGCUAAUACCGCAUCCGUCCUGAGGGAGAAAGUGGGGGAUCUUCUGACCUCACGCUAUCAGAUGAACCUAGGUCGGAUUGGCUAGUUGGUGGGGUAAAGGCCUACCAAGGCGACGAUCCGUGACUGGUCUGAGAGGAUGAUCAGUCAACCUGGAACGGAGACACGGUCCGGACUCCUACGGGAGGCAGCAGUGGGGAAUAUUGGACAAUGGGCGAAAGCCUGAUGCAGACAGGCCGCGUGUGGGAAGAAGGUCUUCGGAUUGUAAAGCACUUUAAGUUGGGAGGAAGGGCAGUAAGUUAAAACCUUGCUGUUUUGACGUUACCAACAGAAUAAGCACCGGCUAACUUCGUG
rnacentral:rRNA from 1 species